UACGUAGGUGACAAGCGUUGUCCGGAUUUACUGGGCGUAAAGAGCGCGCAGGCGGUCGAUCAAGUCGAGUGUGAAAGCCCCCGGCUCAACUGGGGAGGGUCAUUCGAUACUGAUCGACUCGAAGGCAGGAGAGGGUAGUGGAAUUCCCGGUGUAGCAGUGAAAUGCGUAGAGAUCGGGAGGAACAUCUGUGGCGAAGGCGACUGCCUGGACCAGCACUGACACUGAGGCACGAAAGCGUGGGGAGCAAACAGGG
rnacentral:rRNA from 1 species